CCUACGGGAGGCAGCAGUGAGGAAUAUUGGUCAAUGGGCGGAAGCCUGAACCAGCAAAGUAGCGUGCAGGAUGACGGCCCUACGGGUUGUAAACUGCGUUUAUACGGGAAUAACGCGCCUUACGUGUAGGUCUUUGCAUGUACCGUAUGAAUAAGGACCGGCUAAUUCCAUUACAUCAGCCGCGGUAAGGCAGAAGGUGCGGGCGUUAUCCGGAUUUAAUGGGUUUAAAGGGAGCGUAGGCCGCAUGUCAAGCGUGCUGUGAAAUGUCCGGGCUCAACCCGGGCCUUGCAGCGCGAACUGGCGUGCUUGAGUCCGCGGAAAGCAGGCGGAAUUCGUUGUGUAGCGGUGAAAUGCUUAGAUAUGACGAAGAACCCCGAUUGCGAAGGCAGCUUGCUGCAGCGGAACUGACGCUGAUGCUCGAAAGCGCGGGUAUCGAACAGGAUUAGAUACCCUUGUAGUC
rnacentral:rRNA from 1 species